CAUUUAAACACUAAAUUGAUUCAGAUCGAUUAUUCCCCUUUUCGGUGUAAAAAUGACGGGAAAGAAAUAAUCGACAUUUUGAUAGAUUUUGACUAGAAAUAGACACAUUAAAUAUAUAAAAUAAUGUAUUUUUUUUCAUUUUUACGCUUGAGGUGUUCAUGCAUCUUUAAAGUAUCACCGUGCAUACGAAGAGAAAAAGGGGGG
rnacentral:lncRNA from 1 species